rnacentral:lncRNA from 1 species
UAAGUACCUCGAAAGUUUCCUCCUCUUCUAAUUAGCAUGUCAUAUCAGUAAACCAUCAUUUUUUAAAAAAUAAUAAACAUAUUAACUCCACAAACUCAUUUAACAAAAAUAAUAGUUUUAUCUUUUUAAAAAUAUAUAUUAUUUUAUUAAGAAGAAAUUCUCAUACUUAGGUAUUUAUACUUUUUUUAUAGAGUUAAUUUCCUAGAUAAUCAUUCUGGUUUUUAUAUAUAAUUGCCUACAAAGAUCAGUUAUUUUCUAAAUAAAAUAAU